UACCGAAACGCCAUUCGUGGCGUCAGACCAGGGUGGUUCCCUGGCCUCUGAUGAUGGCAAACCAAA
rnacentral:hammerhead_ribozyme from 1 species